GCUGGUUUGCCCUUAAGGGUGGGGGUCCCCACUGGGGUGCCAGGCCACUGGGUGAGGGGCUGAUGGCUGUUUUUAGGAUGGCCACACCACCUUUAGGGUGGCGGUUCCCCACUGGGGUGACUGGCCAAUUUGGGUGAAGGGCUGAGGGCCGUUUUCAGGAUGGCCACGCCU